rnacentral:rRNA from 1 species
ACUAGCGGAAGGAUCAGACAUUG